UGGAACUGCAGUGGUAGAAGAUCCCUGGAAAUUCUGCCUCAGAAAUAACCAAGAGGUGGAACUGCAGUGGUAGAAGAUCCCUGGAAAUUCUGCCUCAGAAAUCACCAAGAGGGCUAGAAGAUCCCUGGAAAUUCAGCCCCAGAAAUAACCAAGAGGUGUAAUUGCAGGGGUACAAGAAGCCUGGAAAUUUGGCCUCAGAAAACAGCAAGAGGAGUACAAGAAGCCUGGAAAUUCGGCCUCAGAAAACAGCAAGGGGUGGAGCUGCAGUGGUAGAAGAUCCCUGGAAAUUCGGCCUCAGAAAUA